UUNUGAACUGGGUAGCUAGAGUANGUCAGAGGGGGAUAGAAUUCCACGUGUAGCAGUGAAAUGCGUAGAGAUGUGGAGGAAUACCGAUGGCGAAGGCAGCCCCCUGGGAUAAUACUGACGUUCAUGCUCGAAAGCGUGGGUAGCAAACAGGAUUAGAUACCCUGGUAGUCCACGCCCUAAACGAUGUCGAUUAGCUGUUGGGCAGCUUGACUGCUUAGUAGCGUAGCUAACGCGUGAAAUCGACCGCCUGGGGAGUACGGUCGCAAGAUUAAAACUCAAAGGAAUUGACGGGGACCCGCACAAGCGGUGGAUGAUGUGGAUUAAUUCGAUGCAACGCGAAGAACCUUACCUGGUCUUGACAUGUACGGAACCUUCCAGAGACGGAAGGGUGCCUUCGGGAGCCGUAACACAGGUGCUGCAUGGCUGUCGUCAGCUCGUGUCGUGAGAUGUUGGGUUAAGUCCCGCAACGAGCGCAACCCUUGUCAUUAGUUGCCAUCAUUCAGUUGGGCACUCUAAUGAGACUGCCGGUGACAAACCGGAGGAAGGUGGGGAUGACGUCAAGUCCUCAUGGCCCUUAUGACCAGGGCUACACACGUCAUACAAUGGUCGGUACAAAGGGUAGCCAAGCCGCGAGGCGGAGCCAAUCUCAUAAAACCGAUCGUAGUCCGGAUUGCACUCUGCAACUCGAGUGCAUGAAGUCGGAAUCGCUAGUAAUCGCAGGUCAGCAUACUGCGGUGAAUACGUUCCCGGGUCUUGUACACACCGCCCGUCACACCAUGGGAGUGGGGGAUACCAGAAGUAGGUAGGGUAACCGCAAGGAGCCCGC
rnacentral:rRNA from 1 species